UGAGGAUGUCUCAGAAGGGGCUGUGAGUGGAGGUGUGUGGGGACUGCAGCACCUCGGAUCCUGGCUGGGCAUCUAUCAAUAGGGGUGUAUUGGUGCAUGAUGGGUGCUGCAGCGUGCACCAGAGCCUGUGAUGCCACAUCUCCAUUGUCAAGCACCUUUGUCACAGUGCCUGGCCUCCCAGGCUACAGCAAAUGGUGCACAGGCUUGCCAGCAGCCGGGCCAACUCCAUCUGGGAGCACUCUCUGUUGGACCCGCACAAGUGCAGAGCCGCCAUCAUAAAGCUACCCCCAAGACAAAGUCCACCCCAUCAAGUCAGAGUUCAUCACGGCCAAGUACAAGAUGCUGGCGUUUGUCCACAAGCUUCCCUGCCAGGACGAUGAGGGGGGUCGCUACCAAAGACCACAGCAAGCAACUGCACUCAAGCAUGUGGACAGGCAACCUGGAGACAUGUCUACCACAACUAUGCCUGGGUGCCCAGGCCAACUUCUUCCACCCACAGAAGGGCACCACACCUCUGUACGUGGCUGCCCAGGCAGGGCAGACACUGCAGGCCGAGCUGCUUGUAGUGUAUCGGACUGACCCUGGCUCCCCUGAGGUUAAUGGCUGCACACCCAUUGACUAUGCCAGGCAGGCUGGGCACCAUGAGCUGGCAGAAAGGCUGGUUGAGUGUCAACAUGAGCUCACUGACCAGUUGGCCUUCUCCCUCUGUGGACACAAGCCGGUUCACAAGAAUGGGCAUUACAUCAUCCCAGAGAUGGCUGACAGCCUGAACCUAUCCGAAUUGGCCAAAGCUGCUAAGAAGAAGCUUCAGGCGCACAGCAACCACCUUUUUGAGAAACUCGCCAUGGAUCUGUAUGAGGAGGUGGAUCAAAAAGAAAAUGAUGCAGUGUGGGUGGUUACCCCAAACCACAGCACUCUGGUGCCAGAGCACAGUGUCGUGCCCUUCCUGCCUGUUAACCCAGAAUACUUAGCCACGCAAAAUCACGGGUGACAGAAGCUGGCCUGCUUUAAUGCCCGAGAGUUUGCCACCUUGAUCACAGACAGACAUUCUCAGUGAGGCCAAGUGGAAACAGCAGGGCAAGAGCCUGAGCAGCCCCACAGACAACCUCCAGCUGUCCAUGGGGAGCCAGAGUGACCUCGACGACCAGCACGACUACAACAGUGUGGCCUCUGAUGAAGACACAGACCAGGAGCCCCUGUGCAGCACCGGCACCACUGGGAGCAACCACGCCCAGAGCAUGGACUCCUGGGACUUGUCUGACUGGGCUGUGAUGCAGGAGUAUCUGGAGCUGAAGAAGGCCCUGGCUACCUCUGAGGCAAAGGUGCAGCAGUUCAUGAAGGUCAACAGUAGCCUGGGCGAUGAGCUCCGGAGGCUGCGGCGAGAGAUCCACAAGCUGCAGGCAGAGAACCUGCAGCUCCAGCAGCCUCCGGAGCCAGUGCCCACACCUCCACUUCCCAGUGAAUGGGCGGAACACACACCCAUGGUACCAGGCGAGAGCACACACCACAGGGAUCGCCAGGCUUUCUCCCUGUAUGAACCUGGCUCAGCCCAGAAGCUCUUUGGGGCCCCACGUGGGGACGAGCUCACUAUGCGGCUGCAGCCUUUCCACAGCACUGAGCUAGAGGACGAAGCCAUCUAUUCAGUGCACGUCUCUGCUGGCCUUUACCGGAUCCGGAAGGGAGUGUCUGCCUCUUCUGUGCCCUUCACUCCCUCCUCCCCACUGCUGUCCUGCUCCCAGGAAGGAAGCUGCCACAUGAGCAAGGUUUCCCACCACAGCUGCCGAGCGGACAGUGACUACGAGAACACGCCAAGUGGGAACCCGCUGCUGGGGCUCGGAUGGAAGAGGAUUUUAGAGCUAGGCAAAGAGGAAGACUUCCACCCAAAGUUGGAAAGCCUGGAUGGAGACCUAGAUCUUGGGCUUCCCAGCAGAGAGGAUGUCAUCUUGAAGACAGAGCAGGUCACCAAGAACAUUCAGGAACUGUUGCCGGCAGCCCAGGAGUUUAAGCAUGACAGCUUCAUUCCCUGCUCAGAGAAGAUCCAUUUGGCUGUGACCGAGAUGGCCUCCCUCUUCCCAAAGAGGCCAGCCCUGGCGCCAGUGUGGAGCUUACUGCGGCUGCUCAACGCCAGCACCUACUGACUGCAGAGUGAGUGUGGGAAGACAGUGCCCCCAGAGCCCAGAGCCCCAGUGGACUUCCAGCUGCUGACUCAGCAAGUGAUCCAGUGUGCCUGUAUCACCAAGGCUGCCAAGCAGCUGGUCACCAUCACCACCUGAGAGAGAAGCAGUGACCUCUCUCCUCACACCCUCACCUGCACCCUAGGACCUUACUGGCCACAGGAGCUGGGCCACUCCAGACAUUAAUCCCCACCUCAACAGAGCCACUGGCACAAGUGCCCUUAAAUACUUGCUCAAGUAUUUAAUGUGGUUGCAGUUAACAUACUAGCAAAAGUUACUGUGAGUCUGAAGUUCUAAAGCUUUGAAAGAUGCUCUGCCAAAGUGGCUCACUCAGGUGGCUCUGGGCAGGAGGCCACAGCUUUGGUCUAUUGGCCAUUGGCAGCUUUAAUCUUUUGUCAUGCAGGUUUCUCCAUAGGCUGCUCAAAUAUCUUCAUGUCCUAAUAGCUAUCUUCUUUGACAGUAACUGCUGUGAAACAGAGAGCAAAGAAAAAGCCACAGUGGUGUUUAUGACGUGGAUGCCUAAGUUACACAUCAUCACUUCUGCCUUAUACUAUUCAUUAGAAGCAAGUAUCUAUGUUAAGCCCACACUCGAGGAGAGGGAAAUUAGGUUUUACCUCCUGAUAUUUGAAGUAUCAAGCCAUGUGUGGUCAUGUAAAAUCCAACCCAGUUUGCCCUCUAGCCACAGAUUAUUUAUAUUUAUCCCAUAUGCAAAAUACAUUCACCCCCUCACAAAGGCCCCACAGAUUUUAUCCAAUUAUAGAAUCAUGUAGAACUUCAGGAUAUUGCC